GGGGCUGAUAUAGCUUUCGACAGAUGGAAUUUAACAAAUCAUAUUGCAAGUCGUAGACAUACGUAAAAUGUUUAAAUAAAUGCAAAAUCAUUUGCGGCAAAACUAGCUUCUGUAUUUGCACCAGCUAGUCUUGCACCAGCUACUGUUUAAUUUUUUGUAGCCAUCGCGAUCUCUAGUCAGCAUGUGAGACUAGCGGUGUCAUAUUUAUGCUGAUGCUUGCUUGAUAAGCGCAAAGUCAAGCAAUAAGAUUUUUUGCGAACUAUAGAGAAACAUUUUUGUUAAUUUUUAAGUUUUUCUAUAGGAAAUUAAAAUUAACUAAACUUGUAGAUGUAUGAUGGGUUACCAUUUGGACCGGGGGGCAGUACCCCGCAGCUCCACCA
rnacentral:tmRNA from 1 species